AUUGAACGCUGGCGGCAGGCUUAACACAUGCAAGUCGAGCGGAGAUGAGGUGCUUGCACCUUAUCUUAGCGGCGGACGGGUGAGUAAUGCUUAGGAAUCUGCCUAUUAGUGGGGGACAACAUUCCGAAAGGAAUGCUAAUACCGCAUACGUCCUACGGGAGAAAGCAGGGGAUCUUCGGACCUUGCGCUAAUAGAUGAGCCUAAGUCGGAUUAGCUAGUUGGUGGGGUAAAGGCCUACCAAGGCGACGAUCUGUAGCGGGUCUGAGAGGAUGAUCCGCCACACUGGGACUGAGACACGGCCCAGACUCCUACGGGAGGCAGCAGUGGGGAAUAUUGGACAAUGGGCGCAAGCCUGAUCCAGCCAUGCCGCGUGUGUGAAGAAGGCCUUUUGGUUGUAAAGCACUUUAAGCGAGGAGGAGGCUACUGAGAUUAAUACUCUUGGAUAGUGGACGUUACUCGCAGAAUAAGCACCGGCUAACUCUGUGCCAGCCGCCGCAGUAA
rnacentral:rRNA from 1 species